rnacentral:rRNA from 1 species
AGUGAACGCUGGCGGUAGGCCUAACACAUGCAAGUCGAACGGCAGCACAGUAAGAGCUUGCUCUUACGGGUGGCGAGUGGCGGACGGGUGAGGAAUACAUCGGAAUCUACUUUUUCGUGGGGGAUAACGUAGGGAAACUUACGCUAAUACCGCAUACGACCUACGGGUGAAAGCAGGGGAUCUUCGGACCUUGCGCGAUUGAAUGAGCCGAUGUCGGAUUAGCUAGUUGGCGGGGGAAAGGCCCACCAAGGCGACGAUCCGUAGCUGGUCUGAGAGGAUGGUCGGCCGCCCUGGAACGUAGCCAGGGUCCAGACUCCUACGGGAGGCAGCAGUGGGGAAUAUUGGACAAUGGGCGCAAGCCUGAUCCAGCCAUACCGCGUGGGUGAAGACGGCCUUCGGGUUGUAAAGCCCUUUUGUUGGGAAAGAAAAGCAGCAGGUUAAUACCCCGCUGGUCUGACGGUACCCAAAGAAUAAGCACCGGCUAACUUCGUG